rnacentral:rRNA from 1 species
AGAAUCAACGCUGGCGGCGUGCCUAACGCAUGCAAGUCGAACGAGAAAGUGGAGCAAUCCAUGAGUAAAGUGGCGCACGGGUGAGUAACACGUGACUAACCUACCCUUGAGUGGGGGAUAACCUAGGGAAACCUGGGCUAAUACCGCAUAAUACCUUCGGGUCAAAGGAGCAAUUCGCUUAAGGAGGGGGUCGCGGCCGAUUAGUUAGUUGGCGGGGUAAUGGCCCACCAAGACUGUGAUCGGUAUCCGGCCUGAGAGGGCGCGACAGACACACUGGAACUGAAACACGGUCCAGACUCCUACGGGAGGCAGCAGUGGGGAAUUUUGCGCAAUGGGGAAACCCUGACGCAGCAACGCCGCGUGGAGGAUGAGCCCCUUGGGGCGUAAACUCCUUUCGAUCGGGACGAUAAUGACGGUACCGGAAGAAGAAGCCCCGGCUAACUUCGUGCCAGCAGCCGC